rnacentral:rRNA from 1 species
UACGUAGGGGGGCUAGCGUUGUCCGGAAUCAUUGGGCGUAAAGAGCGUGUAGGCGGUCCGGUAAGUCCGUUGUGAAAGUCAAGGGCUCAACCCUUGAAUGCCGGCGGAUACUGUCGGGCUAGAGUCCGGAAGAGGCGAGUGGAAUUCCCGGUGUAGCGGUGAAAUGCGCAGAUAUCGGGAGGAACACCUAUGGCGAAGGCAGCUCGCUGGGACGGUACUGACGCUGGAGACGCGAAAGCGUGGGGAGCAAACAGG